rnacentral:rRNA from 1 species
CCUACGGGAGGCAGCAGUGAGGAAUAUUGGUCAAUGGCCGUAAGGCUGAACCAGCCAAGUCGCGUGAAGGAAGAAGGCCCUAUGGUUUGUAAACUUCUUUUGUAGGGGAAUAAAGGUCUCCACGUGUGGAUCUUUGCAUGUACCCUAUGAAUAAGCAUCGGCUAACUCCGUGCCAGCAGCCGCGGUAAUCCGGGGGAUGCGAGCGUUAUCCGGAUUUAUUUGGUUUAAAGGGUUCGUAGGUUGGAAUUUAAGUCAGGGGGUAAAGUUUGUGGCUCAACCCUAGACUUGCCGUUGAAACUGGAAGUCUUGAGUGUGUUAGAGGGAGGCGGAAUGCGUGGUGGAGCGGUGAAAUGCAUAGAUAUCACGCAGAACUCCGAUUGCGAAGGCAGCAUACUGGGCCGUAACUGACGCUGAUGCACGAAAGCGUGGGGAUCAAACAGGAUUAGAUACCCUAGUAGUC